rnacentral:lncRNA from 1 species
AUGGUGUUUUCCUGGUCUCGGCGGCCUAUUUGGGAGCUGUUAACUAAGCGGGCGCUCUUAGUUCCCACGGAGACGGUCGCUGUACGAGCAAGCUUAUUCCCAUCUGGAUUUUGGAAAAUGGCUGAAGCUACUUUUUAUCUAGUACCUGCCAAGACCAUCUCCCAAGGGGAUUUUUCGCAGCAACUGGCACACUGCAGCAUUUGCAGGAAAGCUUUCGGUGCGCUGGCGUCGCGGCGUGGGCAGGUCCCUCUGCACCCGGCCACGCUGCAGGCAAGCGGAGCGCUUCUUGGCCAUUUCCAAAGUGAAGGAAAAUGGCUAGUCCGGAUGUCUCCAAGCUCCUCCGUCCAGCCUGUACGUCUCUGCCUCUGUGCUCUUUAUUCAUGUGGAGGACGGGAAGAGAAGCAAUUGCAAGAAGGCGGCGGUCUUCCUGCAUCUCAGGGGCCCUGGGACCUGGCAGCGUGGGAUACAACUCCCGUGGACGUCUGCAUUUAG